AAUGGUGGUGGUGGGGGGGAAUCUGUGCAGUUCCACUGCCUGACCCCUGACUGAGACCCCAGCCCUGGCUCAGCCACUCAGCCAGGGUCAAUUCGAGGGGGAGCAUGUGAUCAGUGUAAUCACCCCCCCCCCCCACCACCACCUGUACAGGAAAAGGCAGAGGCUGAGCAGUAAAGCAGCCUCUCUGCCCUCACUGCAGCACAGCACACUGCAGCAUGUGCUGUACUGCCAACAUAAGAGCUUAUGCUGCUGCCAAGUAAGGAGGGAGAGGGGUGGGAGUGCAGUGCACCAGGGCCCCCGGCGGACCCCUCCAUCAGUCCCAGGUCUGGGUAAUUAGUACCUGCUUCCUCCCCUCCUCUCAGCGUCACUGACGACAUAGGACGGAGCCGCUGCUGCUGGAGUAACGGAGGCUGCGAGAAACCGGAGGCGGAGAAGAAAGAGGAGGAGCAGCGCCCGAGCCAGGACCUCCUGCAGUACAUUCAGACGGAGAAAGGAGCAGGCAGAUUAGGGGCUAUGAACCGCAAUAUUCACUGACAGCAGCAGCAGCAGCAAGCCAAUUUCUCUGCCUGUGAUGAUCUUCUAAGAGGACGAGACAGACAAGUCUUUGCUCAUCAGUUCCCCACGGUGCUAUAACUAACCCUGUCCACUUAGUAUUUUGUUACCUGUAUGAACGCCGAAGCUUCCAGCAGUAACAUCACAAUGGAUAAGGCAACAGGGGACUUAGGAGACAGAGAGAAAACUUUGUAAUAAUGCACAAGUAAAUGCUUAAACAGAAUGUCAGGCUGGGGUACCGUAGACAGGAGAUGAUAUUAUCAUAUGUGGCUCUGUUGCUUCCAAUCUGUGGUCCAUCACCUGCCCCUUCACAAACUAGUAACUGUGAUGUGACAGGAAGGUGGGCAUCAGGGCAGUAGAGAGCCUGAAAAAAAUACAGAUUUAUAUUUUUAUUUGAAGCACUUCCCUGGCCACACUGCAGCCCAGCAGACAGCAGCGUGUGCCAGGCAAGGGGGGGGGGGAGAGAAGCUGAUCCCCCACUGGGCACCUCCAUCAGACCUGGGCCCAGGUAGUUUCUACCCUUUCGGAUUUCUGAAGGGGGAAGGGGGGUCCAUUAGAGUGAAUGUCGCCAGCCCAUGAAGGAUAUAUAAUUAGCAUGUAACAAGCUGUAGUCUGCCCCAAACAAAGUGCAGCCUAAGUAAUACAGUAAUGCAGACAUACGCAGGCCCAGUCAUCAUGGUAAACACUUACAAGAUCCUCCCUAGUGCAAUGACCAAGCACUCAGAUUCACAGAGACACACACAGCAGACUUGGUAGGAAAAUCUGCUGCCACUGGGCAUGCGCAGCAGCUCCAUUCCACCCUUUAUACUGCAUGUAGUGGCCACUUUCCAGGCUAUGGGGAAGAGUGGUUUGCUGGGCAACUGGUUCCCCCCCGUGUUUGCCUAUGAGAAAGGGGGUUGUGUGUGUGGUUUAAUAAAUGGGGGACAAGAGGGGUUUAUAGAAAGCAUGUAUUUUUGCUGGAAGUUUGGAAGUUACAAUUUAAUUAAGCAAGUUAUAAUAAGUAUUGUUUAGUUUUAUAUCUAAAGUAAAAGCAGUAAAUAAAUAUAAAAUACUGUAAAUCAUAAGGUGGGUACACACUUGGCGAUGUGCUCUAUGAGUGACGUCGCCUAGUGUGUUCCCUUCCCUGCCGAGGUGGUCGGCAGCAGGGCGUACACACUGAGUGAUAUGACGACCAGUAAGGUCACGCAGCGGCCAGGCCGUGCAGUCAGCUCUUGGACAACAGUCCAAAUUGAGCUGCUUGCACGACCAGCAGCAAGGGUCGUUAACGACCCGUGGGGUCGCACAUCGCUUGGCGGCGGCAUACACGCUUUCCGAGAAACAACAACAACGUCGCUCAGGAAGGGUGAAAAUUAGCGAUGUCGUUUCCUUUCUCGGCAAGUGUAUAUGCACCUUUACAGAUAUAUUCUAUGUGGUUUCAGGUGCAUAAAUGGAAUGUACUUUUAUGAUUGUAAAAUUGCAAUAUAAUAUUUACAAGCCAUAGUAAAUAUGAC